UACGAAGGACCCAAGCGUUAUCCGGAUUCAUUGGGUUUAAAGGGUGCGUAGGCGGAUUAAAAAGUCAGUGGUGAAAGCCCAACGCUUAACGUUGGAACUGCCAUUGAUACUCUUGAUCUUGAAUGUGUUUGAUGUGGGCGGAAUAUGACAUGUAGCGGUGAAAUGCUUAGAUAUGUCAUAGAACACCGAUUGCGAAGGCAGCUCACAAAGCCACUAUUGACGCUGAGGCACGAAAGCGUGGGGAUCAAACAGG
rnacentral:rRNA from 1 species